rnacentral:rRNA from 1 species
GACGAACGCUGGCGGCGUGCUUAACACAUGCAAGUCGAACGAAGUGGCGAACGGGUGAGUAACGCAUAAUCAACCUGCCCUUCAGCGGGGGACAACAGGUGGAAACGACUGCUAAUAUCGCAUACUGCAGGUGGGGAUUGCGUGUGAUUAGCUAGUUGGAGGGGUACCGGCCCACCAAGGCGAUGAUCGGGAGCCGGACUGCGAGGAUGACCGGCCACAUUGAGACUGAGACACGGCCCAGACUCCUACUGGAGGCAGCAGUGGGGAAUCUUCCGCAAUGGACGAAAGUCUGACGGAGCAACGCCGCGUGAGUGAUGACGGCCUUCGGGUUGUAAAGCUCUGUUAAUCGGGACGCGGUACCGGAAUAGAAAGCCACGGCUAACUACGUGCCAGCAGCCGCGGUAAUAC